rnacentral:tRNA from 1 species
GGUGUCAUGGCUCAGUAGUAGAGCACUUACCUAGCAUGUGUGAGGCACUGGGUUCGAUUCUCAGCACCA